rnacentral:rRNA from 1 species
GACGAACGCUGGCGGCGUGCUUAACACAUGCAAGUCGAACGCUGAAGCUCAGCUUUUGUUGGGUGGAUGAGUGGCGAACGGGUGAGUAACACGUGAGUAACCUGCCCCCUUCUUUGGGAUAACGCCCGGAAACGGGUGCUAAUACUGGAUAUUCACUGGUCUUCGCAUGGGGGUUGGUGGAAAGGGUUUUUCUGGUGGGGGAUGGGCUCGCGGCCUAUCAGCUUGUUGGUGGGGUGAUGGCCUGCCAAGGCUUUGACGGGUAGCCGGCCUGAGAGGGUGACCGGUCACAUUGGGACUGAGAUACGGCCCAGACUACUACGGGAGGCAGCAGUGGGGAAUAUUGCACAAUGGGCGCAAGCCUGAUGCAGCGACGCCGCGUGAGGGAUGGAGGCCUUCGGGUUGUGAACCUCUUUCGCUAAUGGUCAAGCCGCAACAAUGGUUGUGGUGAGGGUAGUGGGUAAAGAAGCGCCGGCUAACUACGUG